UCACUACAUAUUUGUAUGAAGUUGGAACGUUUGCCUACGUUUGCCGCUCUAGGGGCGCUGUUCCAACUCCAUACAAAUUUGAGUUA
rfam:Bombyx mori DNA, contig: Bm_scaf75_contig31809, strain: p50T/Dazao, build 2, whole genome shotgun sequence.